GCCACCACCCCUACUCGCCACAGAAGGCGUCAUCAUGGCGUCAUUUGCACACAUUUCCCGUGCAGACGAGUCACCUCCCACAUUCCUACUUGUGCAUCGCAUCGUACACCUGUCAAGACGAUGCGCCUAUCAGAACGACGACAACUUCUAUCUACAAGUAACAACUUCACAUACACGAGCAUGUGAUGGCCUGGCCACUAACCCCAAGCUACACAUCUGUAACGUGUUUCUGCGUCACCUUAGUCUGUGGUUUGUUGUUUCUUUCGACCCAUCCGCCCUGUUUGUCAUCAAUCCGCCACCCAAGCUUUCGAGUCACCAUGUCGCUACCCAGUCACUCGUGAUCCAAGCACACAACAGCAACCAAGUCGCUACUUCUACCGAUUCUGCGACGCUCUGAAAAGCAGCAGAGCAAGGAUCCAGGCCAAUCAGCCACUGCGGGUGAUGAAGCAGUGGGUUCGUUGCCCUGGUUCAUGAAGAGAAGCCGUAGGCAGCAGCAGAGCCACUGUCACAGAGCAAUUCUGCUUAUAGGUGACAGGCUCCAGGAACAACCUUGGUGUCAUCGUCCUCGGAGGGGCGGAACCCUCGGAGGAGUUGUACUUCUUGAAUAUGACAUAUUCAUCAAGACUUCCACCGCCACAGACUGAUACACCACCAUCACACACCAUCACAACACCACCACAUAGAUGCUCGACGCCAGUUAUGUUUCGACUACAACUUACAACCCACCCUAGAUUCUAACUACACUACAAGUAGCACAAAUACUGUGCAUCCAUUGCGUCACAACACAAACAGCCUACAGCCAGAGAUGACAAGUGUGAGUAUACUAUUGACCCAGGACGACCGCUAAUACAUAUAGCCUAGCUACAUGAAGCCAAUGUUGGAGACUUCUGACGAGAUAUUUACAAGUAAUUGUUGCAACUUGUGGUUCCCCACAGGCUGUCAAGCUUCAAGACCGUAAGCGACACCCUCACAUUAUGACCAGACGAUACCCGGAAUUCAACGAGAACCCGCUACACAAGAACAUAACGCUACUAGCUAGCUGUGUGAUACACCAUUUCCAUUGUGACUACUGUUAAUAGACCUAAUACAACAGUACUUUACUUGU
rnacentral:misc_RNA from 1 species